UUUUCCGUAGUGUAAUAAACACAUUAGUUUUUCACACUAGAAAUGGGCGUAGUGCUCCGGGGUCC
rnacentral:tRNA from 1 species